rnacentral:rRNA from 1 species
CCUACGGGAGGCAGCAGUGGGGAAUAUUGGACAAUGGGCGCAAGCCUGAUCCAGCCAUGCCGCGUGAGUGAUGAAGGCCUUAGGGUUGUAAAGCUCUUUCGCCGGUGAAGAUAAUGACGGUAACCGGAGAAGAAGCCCCGGCUAACUUCGUGCCAGCAGCCGCGGUAAUACGAA